CACCUUCAUUGUAUUAACUCAGUUUUUUUAAUUUCAAUGAACUCAAAAUUUUAAGGCAACAAGGUAACUUACUUUUUUAAGUUAAACCAACCAUUCUUUUUACAGUGAAGAUCUAAGGAUACAUAUUUAAACAUGCUCAUGUAAUCGUUUCUUGUGAUUCAGAUUCAGUGUCGUGAGGAAGAGGAGGAGUUCAGCACAGACCCUAUACAGCUGAUAAAGAUGAGCUUCACAACACUGUGGAGCAGCUGCGGUUCUUGCCAGUUUAGUGAAAGAACAUGUUGAUCUACAUUGUGAUAUUGCUGUCAUCAGCUGAAGGUUCCAGAUCCACAGAAGUCAUCACUCCAAAAAGAGUCAGAGUAUUUGCACUUGAGGGUGACAAUGUGACGCUCUCUUGUAACUACAGCAUUUCUGUUCGUGGUGUUCACUGGUAUCGCCAAUACGCAGGUUCACCACCACAGUUCCUCAUACUGGAAGAUUCAGGAGUAACUACUCCAGCUGAUCCACCCGUUCCAAGAAUAACCAUCAAUCACAGAAAAGAGCAAAGUCUUGUGGAUCUGAUCAUCUCCUCUGCUGCAGUAUCAGACUCUGCUCUGUAUUACUGUGCUCUGAGGCCCACAGUCACAGGAAACACAAGAACACUGUACCAUAAACAGUUUCAUAUGCUUAUCAAACCUUGAAAUGUACAUACAAACUACAGCUGGACUCAACAACACAAAUGUCAAAAAGACACAACAGUUACUGAUACUAGUAGAAUUGUCAAGUAACAUAAUGUAAAUUAUAAACUGGCUUUACUGGUACACUGCAAAUCAUGAUUUUCCUUAUAUACUUUGAAUAAGGUUUAUUUUUAUCACCCCAUUGGCAUGUAUUUUUUCUUGUUUUAAACUUAAACUCACUGAAUUUUGAUAAAUUAUUCAGAAAACUAGACUUUUUGUUGACAAGUUGUUUUGUUUCUUGAGUAAAUGUUUCUUGAUUUAAUAAUUUUAAGAUAUGUGUACUGGAAACAAGACUAAAAUACAGAGUUAAAAGCCCAACAUGGACUUGUUCACUUUUUACCCGAA